rnacentral:misc_RNA from 1 species
GAUGAAGAACGCAGCGAAAUGCGAUAAGUAAUGUGAAUUGCAGAAUUCAGUGAAUCAUCGAAUCUUUGAACGCACAUUGCGCCCCCUGGUAUUCCGGGGGGCAUGCCUGUCCGAGCGUCAUUACAACCCUCAAGCUCAGCUUGGUGUUGGGCCCCGCCGCCCCGGCGGGCCCUAAAGUCAGUGGUGGUGCCGUCCGGCUCCGAGCGUAGUAAUUCUUCUCGCUCUGGAGGUCCGGUCGUGUGCUCGCCAGCAACCCCCAAUUUUUUUCAGGUUGACCUCGGAUCAGGUAGGGAUACCCGCUGAACUUAAGCAUAUCAAUAAGCGGAGGA